rnacentral:rRNA from 1 species
GACGGGGGGGGCAAGUGUUCUUCGGAAUGACUGGGCGUAAAGGGCACGUAGGCGGUGAAUCGGGUUGAAAGUGAAAGUCGCCAAAAAGUGGCGGAAUGCUCUCGAAACCAAUUCACUUGAGUGAGACAGAGGAGAGUGGAAUUUCGUGUGUAGGGGUUCAAUCCGUAAAUAUACGAAGGAACGCCAAAAGCGAAGGCAGCUCUCUGGGUCCCUACCGACGCUGGGGUGCGAAAGCGUGGGGAGCAAACAGG